GCAGCACGGACUUCGGUCUGGUGGCGAGUGGCGAACGGGUGAGUAAUGUAUCGGAACGUGCCCAGUAGCGGGGGAUAACUACGCGAAAGCGUAGCUAAUACCGCAUACGCCCUACGGGGGAAAGCAGGGGAUCGCAAGACCUUGCACUAUUGGAGCGGCCGAUAUCGGAUUAGCUAGUUGGUGGGGUAACGGCUCACCAAGGCGACGAUCCGUAGCUGGUUUGAGAGGACGACCAGCCACACUGGGACUGAGACACGGCCCAGACUCCUACGGGAGGCAGCAGUGGGGAAUUUUGGACAAUGGGGGAAACCCUGAUCCAGCCAUCCCGCGUGUGCGAUGAAGGCCUUCGGGUUGUAAAGCACUUUUGGCAGGAAAAGAAACGUCGCGGGUUAAUACCCCGCGAAACUGACGGUACCUGCAGAAUAAGCACGGCUAAUUACGUGCCAGCAGCCGCGGAAUACGUAGGG
rnacentral:rRNA from 1 species